rnacentral:rRNA from 1 species
GACGAACGCUGGUGGCGUGCUUAACACAUGCAAGUCGAACGGAAAGGCCCUGCUUUUGUGGGGUGCUCGAGUGGCGAACGGGUGAGUAACACGUGAGUAACCUGCCCUUGACUUUGGGAUAACUUCAGGAAACUGGGGCUAAUACCGGAUAGGAGCUCCUGCUGCAUGGUGGGGGUUGGAAAGUUUCGGCGGUUGGGGAUGGACUCGCGGCUUAUCAGCUUGUUGGUGGGGUAGUGGCUUACCAAGGCUUUGACGGGUAGCCGGCCUGAGAGGGUGACCGGCCACAUUGGGACUGAGAUACGGCCCAGACUCCUACGGGAGGCAGCAGUGGGGAAUAUUGCAAAAUGGGCGGAAGCCUGAUGCAGCAACGCCGCGUGCGGGAUGACGGCCUUCGGGUUGUAAACCGCUUUCGCCUGUGACGAAGCGUGAGUGACGGUAAUGGGUAAAGAAGCACCGGCUAACUACGUG